AUAUCAAUAAGCGCAGGAAAAGAAACCAACAGGGAUUCCCUUAGUAAUGGCGAAUGAAGCGGGAAAAGCUCAAAUUUGAAAUCUGGCCGCUACUAGGCAGUCCGAGUUGUAAUUUCUAGAGACAGCUUUGGCUUCCCACACAGUCCAAGUUCCUUGGAACAGGACGUCAUAGAGGGUGAGAAGCCCGUGUAUGGCUGUGGAUUGGGGGCCGUGUAUAGCGUCUUCGAAGAGUCGAGUUGUUUGGGAAUGCAGCUCAAAAUGGGUGGUAAAUUUCAUCUAAAGCUAAAUACAGGCGAGAGACCGAUAGCGAACAAGUAGAGUGAUCGAAAGAUGAAAAAGAACUUUGAAAAGAGAGUUAAACAGUAC
rnacentral:rRNA from 1 species